rnacentral:rRNA from 1 species
AGAACGAACGCUGGCGGCAUGCCUAACACAUGCAAGUCGAACGAGACCUUCGGGUCUAGUGGCGCACGGGUGCGUAACGCGUGGGAAUCUGCCCUUGGGUUCGGAAUAACACAGAGAAAUUUGUGCUAAUACCGGAUGAUGUCUUCGGACCAAAGAUUUAUCGCCCAAGGAUGAGCCCGCGUAGGAUUAGGUAGUUGGUGGGGUAAUGGCCUACCAAGCCGACGAUCCUUAGCUGGUCUGAGAGGAUGAUCAGCCACACUGGGACUGAGACACGGCCCAGACUCCUACGGGAGGCAGCAGUGGGGAAUCUUGCGCAAUGGGCGAAAGCCUGACGCAGCAACGCCGCGUGGAGGACGAAGGCUUUCUGAGUUGUAAACUCCUUUCAGCAGGGACGAUAGUGACGGUACCUGCAGAAGAGCACCGGCCAACUACGUGCCAGCAGCCGC